GACGAACGCUGGCGGCGUGCUUAACACAUGCAAGUCGAACGAAGUGGCGAACGGGUGAGUAACGCGUAAUCAACCUGCCCUUCAGAGGGGGACAACAGUUGGACACGACUGCUAAUACCGCAUACUGAAGGAGGGGAUUGCGUCGGAUUAGCUAGUUGGAGGGGUAACGGCCCCCCAAGGCGAUGAUCAGUAGGCUGGCUGAGGGGAAGAAGUGCCAAAUUGGGGCUGAGACACGGCCCGGCAGCCUACCGGCGGUAGCAGUGGGGAAUCUUCCUAAAUGGAAGAAAGGCCGACGGGACAAAGCCGCGUGAGGGAUGACGGCCUUCGGGUUGUAAAGAUCUGUUAAUCGGGACGCGGUACCGGAAUAGAAAGCCACGGCUAACUACGUGCCAGCAGCCGCGGUAAUAC
rnacentral:rRNA from 1 species